UACGGGGGGGGGCAAGCGUUGUUCGGAAUUACUGGGCGUAAAGGGCUCGUAGGCGGCCAACUAAGUCCGACGUGAAAUCCCCAGGCUUAACCUGGGAACUGCGUCGGAUACUGGAUGGCUUGAAUCCGGGAGAGGGAUGCGGAAUUCCAGGUGUAGCGGUGAAAUGCGUAGAUAUCUGGAGGAACAUCAGUGGCGGAAGCGACUUCCUGGACCAGUACCGACGUUCAGGCACGAAAGCGUGGGGAGCAAACGGG
rnacentral:rRNA from 1 species